AAACUUCCAACAACGGAUCUCUUGGUUCUGGCAUCGAUGAAGAACGCAGCGAAAUGCGAUAAGUAAUGUGAAUUGCAGAAUUCAGUGAAUCAUCGAAUCUUUGAACGCACAUUGCGCCCCUUGGUAUUCCGGGGGGCAUGCCUGUUCGAGCGUCAUU
rnacentral:rRNA from 1 species